rnacentral:lncRNA from 1 species
GCAUUAAGAAGUAAACGGCCCUUUUAUUGAUAAAAAAAACAACAAAAAAAAAAACGACCUAGGUUCCACCUAACAAAUAAUUCUAAUUUUCUGAGAGAGAGAUGAAUGAAUAAAUGAAUGUAAAUUGUUAGGAUUAACAGGAUUUUUAUUAUUUUAUUGUCUGUAUGUUUAUGCAAAAACAAGUCUUUUUAUGCCAAUGUUAAACUAACAGGAGAGUUAACUGAAGUAGUGUUAAAAUGUAAAUAAGCGAUCAUAGAUUCACUACAUUUAACUCUCACACACAUCAUGAUGCACACUGACCUCAGAAUGUGCCGUCCACUGAGUGCCAGUGACAGGACAAAUACAUCAGUAUAUAUACUAUUUUAUUUCCUUUUUUUUUUGGAUUUCACACAAUAAAAGUCCUUUUCAAAUACUUGGACUAGCAAUGUGUACGGAAUGGAAUACUAUUAGCAAACUAUCAUAUUGUUUACAUCCAUAAUAAAUACUUUUUUAUUCACUCAAAAUUAAUAAUGUGAUAAUAUUCCAUUCCGAAUGCUGCCAAGUGCUCUGCACACUUGUGCAUGAACCCCACAAUGCAAUGCACUCAACUUGACCUUCCAUUUACAGUAACAAAUGCACCGGAAUUAAUAAAACAGAUUUUUUGUUAUGACCUCCUGCACAAGAUUGGUUUAAAAAUGCAAAACAACCAAGAUGACAACAGGACGCCCUUUGCAUAAUGAUGAGAAUGUUUCUGUCACAUACUGUAAUAAAAAAAAAAAACAGUUGACCGAAUGCUGUGUAUGUGGGUUUUUUAUCCAAAGUGACAAAUCAGAAUAACACAAGCAGAAUCGAUUAACCCGAGGGAUGAAACUGCCGUAACAAACACUAGAAACUAGUAUGCCAUCCUGAACCUGGCCUAGGUUGCAGAGAGGCCUUAUUAAUGAAGGAAAUGUCAUUUCAACAGCAAUUUCCAUUUUUGUUUUACUCCUGGAAGUGGUUUGGAUGAGAGACUAUAAACAUAUAAAAGCUUUCCUGCUGCAUGAGCAGCGCAGAUUACCGGUUUUAAUGACUCUGAUGUCAUUAAGUAAAUGAACAAUUAGAGAAAGACGUGCAGAAGGUUGCUCUUUCUAUGACUGCUUGUGCGAAUGUAUUUGUGUUGUGUGCAAAAGUUUGGGCAUCGUUCCCGCAGUUCAUGUUUGGGUGAUUCAGUCUGGCAUUGGCAUCCCAACUGAGCAUGUGCGAAAUUAGCUUUGAAGAAAUGCAGCAAAUAAACAGCUUGAAAAUGAGCGGAAAUAUGGCAGAAGUGGAAAAGUAAACCGAGCGUUUAGUUUAGCCACAGACAUUUGCACACAACUGUAUAUUUUUACAUAUCUGUGUAUGAAUGAGUAUGUAUUUGUGUGUAUUCACUUCCAUUAGUCUAAAUGUGAAGUGUGUGUGUGUGUGUAUGAACAUGUACAUAAUGUGCAGUUUGAUGAACUUUGUGUUUCCACAUGAGGAAUAUUCUUCCUUCUAACGUACAAGGAGAGGUUCUCUUCUUCUCAUCACCCGUUUUAUUUGCUGUCUCUGUAACUGCAAUGACCACUGAAUUAAUCAAAUAUACAAAUAAAUUAUUAGUUGACGUAUGACUUUGUCCUGGUGUUUUUCAGCUGUAAUUAGUUCUGUAUCACUUUAAAUGAUGUCUAAAACCGUGUCCUAAUCAGACCCAAUGCAACACCAAGAUAAAAGGUAUCUUUUCCAUCUUAAAGGGAUACUCCAUCCCAAAAUGAAAAUAUUGUCAUUAAUCACUUACCCCCAUGUCGUUCCAAACCCGUAAAAGCUCUGUUCGUCUUCGGAACACAAUUUAAGAUAUUUUGGAUGAAAAACCUGGAGGCUUGAGACUGUCCCAUGGACUGCCAAGUAAAUAACAGUGUCAAGGUUCAUAAAAGGUAUCAAAGUCAUCGUUAGAAUACUCCAUCUUCCAUCAGAAGUGAAAUCUGCGUUAUAUCAAGUGACGGGAACACUUUUUGUAAGCGAUAAUAACGACUUUGUUCAAUAAUUCCUUUGUCAAUGGUUUGUUCUGCGACAUAAUGGCUGAAAGAACAUCCAAAGUUACACCCAAUGUUCAAUUUCACAAAAACUCCAAUAUAUAUCGCAAAGUUUGUACGCUUGCAUGAGGUGGUUUUUC